GACGAACGCUGGCGGCGUGCUUAACACAUGCAAGUCGAACGAAGUGGCGAACGGGGGAGUAAUACGUGAGUAACCUGCCCUCCUUUCUUGGAUAAGCCUUGGAAACGGGGCCUAAUACCGUAUCAAGGGGAGGGGGUCGCGGGCUAUCAGCUUGUUGGUGGGGUGUUGGUCUUCCCAGGCGGUGGCGGGUAGCCGGCCUGAGAGGGUGACCGGCGACAUUGGGACUGAGGUACGGCCCAGACGCCUACGGGGGGGAGCGGUGGGGGGUAUUUUGCAAUGGGCGAGAGCGUGAUGCAGCGAGGCCGCGUGGGGGAUGAAGGCUUUCGGGGUUUAAACCUCUUUCUCGAUAGAACGGGUAGGUGGAGAAGAAGCGCCGGCUAACUACGGGCCAGCCGCCGCGGUAAUAC
rnacentral:rRNA from 1 species